UGGGGAAUAUUGCGCAAUGGGGGAAACCCUGACGCAGCAACGCCGCGUGAUUGAAGAAGGCCUUCGGGUUGUAAAGAUCUUUAAUCAGGGACGAAACAAAUGACGGUACCUGAAGAAUAAGCUCCGGCUAACUACGUGCCAGCAGCCGCGGUAAUACGUAGGGAGCAAGCGUUAUCCGGAUUUACUGGGUGUAAAGGGCGCGCAGGCGGGCCGGCAAGUUGGAAGUGAAAUCUAUGGGCUUAACCCAUAAACUGCUUUCAAAACUGCUGGUCUUGAGUGAUGGAGAGGCAGGCGGAAUUCCGUGUGUAGCGGUGAAAUGCGUAGAUAUACGGAGGAACACCAGUGGCGAAGGCGGCCUGCUGGACAUUAACUGACGCUGAGGCGCGAAAGCGUGGGGAGCAAACAGG
rnacentral:rRNA from 2 species